rnacentral:rRNA from 1 species
GAGGAAUAUUGGUCAAUGGCCGCAAGUCUGAACCAGCCACGUCGCGUGAAGGAAGACGGUCCUACUGGUUGUAAACUUCUUUUAUAAGGGAAUCAAGUGCCCCACGUGUGGGGUUUUGCAUGUACCGUAUGCAUAAGGCUCGGCUAACUCCGUGCCAGCAGCCGCGGUAAUACGGAGGAUCCGAGCGUUACCCGGAUUUAUUGGGUUUAAAGGGUGCUCAGGCGGGGGGUUAAGUCGGCGGUGAAAUUUUGCAGCUCAACUGUAAAACUGCCUUCGAAACUGGUUCCCUUGAGUGCGGAUGAGGUAGGCGGAAUUUGUGGUGUAGCGGUGAAAUGCAUAGAUAUCACGAGGAACUCCGAUUGCGCAGGCUGCUUACCAAGCCGUAACUGACGCUCAAGCACGAAGGCGUGGGGAUCAAACA